AGGCCUCCAACUGAUUAUAAAUUGCAAACACCCGAGCUGCGGGGGUGUCGGUGGAGUCCUGCUGCGGACUGGUGCUCUCUUGCUUUGCGGCGGCAGCACAUGCAGUGCAGAACCUCUGCCUUUUAGAGCAGAGCCUGGGAAACCUCGCUCCCCUGCUGUGCAGGGAGAAGAGCACAUCUUCAGCUGCAAGAUCUUGCUGUUCAUUACUUAGUGGAAUGACACUAUCCACAAAGGCUGCUGAAGUCAGUGCAUCAAGGAGAGGAAAAAGCUGUGUUCUAAACCACAGCCUGCACCACACUGCUAAUGUAGAGUGAAAUGAGCAAGCUUCUGCUAAGAGAAUAUUGAGCAUUUGUAAAGGUUUAUGAUAUUAAAGAAAGAAGGAGCCCUAA